rnacentral:rRNA from 1 species
UACGGAAGGCAGCAGUGGGGAAUAUUGCACAAUGGGCGCAAGCCUGAUGCAGCCAUGCCGCGUGUAUGAAGAAGGCCUUCGGGUUGUAAAGUACUUUCAGUCGUGAGGAAGGUGUUAAGGUUAAUAACCUUAGCAAUUGACGUUAGCGACAGAAGAAGCACCGGCUAACUCCGUGCCAGCAGCCGCGGUAAUACAGAGGGUGCGAGCGUUAAUCGGAAUUACUGGGCGUAAAGGGCACGCAGGCGGUUAAUAAGUUGGAUGUGAAAUCCCCGGGCUUAACCUGGGAAUGGCAUUCAAGACUGGUUAGCUAGAGUCUUGUAGAGGGGGUAGAAUUCCAUGUGUAGCGGUGAAAUGCGUAGAGAUGUGGAGGAAUACCGGUGGCGAAGGCGGCCCCUGGGACAAAGACUGACGCUCAUGUGCGAAAGCGUGGGGAGCAAACAGGAUUAGAUACC